rnacentral:rRNA from 1 species
ACGGGAGGCAGCAGUGGGGAAUAUUGGGCAAUGGGCGAAAGCCUGACCCAGCGACGCCGCGUGAGGGAUGAAGAUCUUCGGAUUGUAAACCUCUUUCAGCAGGGAAGAAGCAAGUGACGGUACCUGCAGAAGAAGCCACGGCUAAAUACGUGCCAGCAGCCGCUGUAAUACGGAGGUGGCGAGCGUUAUCCGGAAUUACUGGGUGUAAAGGGUGUGUAGGCGGGGAGGCAAGUCAGGCGUGAAAAUCAUGGGCUCCAACCAUGACGUGCGCUUGAAACUGUUGUUCUUGAGUGUGGGAGAGGUAAGUGGAAUUCCCAGUGUAGCGGUGAAAUGCGUAGAUAUUGGGAGGAACAACAGUGGCGAAGGCGGCUUACUGGACCACAACUGACGCUGAGACACGAAAGCGUGGGGAGCAAACAGGAUUAGAUACCCUGGUA